rnacentral:rRNA from 1 species
AUGGACUACGAUGACAUGUUAGAUUGGAUCAUAUGGGUGCUUUUGUUGAUGUUCGCCGUCAUCGCUGCGCUCAGCGCCGCCGUGGCGAUCGCCGAGGUGGUUCGUCCCGUGCGGCAGCACUGCAAGUGGCUGUCCAUCGAGCGGCUGCUGGAGAGCAUACCCGACGUCCCAUACAAGAAGAUGCCCGAUCGAGACGGCGGCUCUCCGUCGGAGGAGGAGGAGGGGAAGGAGUUGCGCCGGAGCCAGAGCUCGUGCGUGAUCUGCCUGGCGCAGUACGAGGGCGGCGAGCGGUGCAGCGUCCUGCCGGGAUGCGGCCACGUGUUCCACAGGGGCUGCGUCGCCACGUGGCUGCACACCACGCACAACACAUGUCCGCUCUGCCGGGCGACGAUAGCCGCCGGCGCCGUGGCACAGAAGGACAACGACGCACAGGAUAUGGUGUAA